UGGGGAGUGGUCUAAAGGCAGGACAACGGACUCUGGAUCCGUAUGUGGGGGUUCGAAUCCUCCCUCCCCAG
rnacentral:tRNA from 2 species